CAUUUCUUGAAUCCCUCCCACUUUUAGGGAAGAUGUGUAUGUUUAUCAAUGAAUGGUUAAGGUGACAAGAGAAUUUGGGAAGAUGCUGAAAAUAAAGCCUGUAAGAUUUCAAGACCAAUGCAAACAUAAUAUAAGGUACUCUCAAAAAAAGUGAACAUUUAAAUUAAAAAUUUAAAAAUUGUUAUAGUAAAAGACACAUUGUCAUUAGUCCCCCUCGAUAUACUCCCCCUCACUCUCACUGAAUACCCUUUCCCAUCAUGUUUGCCACUUUCUUUCUUUUUUUUUUGGUACCGGGGAUCGAACUUGGGUCCUUGCGCUUGUGCAGCAGGCGGCAAAACCACUGAGCUAAAUCCCAAAUUCUUGCCACUUUCUGAAGCAGUUCUAGAAGUUCUCUUUCAUGAGUGUCUUUUGCUGGUUCCCUCAAUGUUCUGAAAUGAUUCAAAACAUUUAUGGCAAUCUCUGUCAAAUAAAAACAUGCUAGUGCGUCCUCAUGUACCUCAUUCACUGGAUAAGGUGCAACUUCUCGGUGGGGAACCAAAGCCAAAAUAACCGUGAAAGGUAAAUGUUUUGGACCAAUUCAGGACAUCAAGGCAGCCAUGACAGUACAACAAAAGACAUGGAAGAGGACUUCAGAGCUGCUUCAGAAGUGGCAAGACUGGAGGGAUGUGUGUUUGCAAUAAAGAUGAUUAUUGUGAGGGAGAUUAAGAGCAGUAUGUCUUUUACUGUAAUAAGUUUUUAAAACUGUAAACACCACCUUUUCUAAUCAUACCACAUGUAUUCGAUUACAUACAGAACAGAUCUAACAAGGCCAAGUUUGACUCUAGUACAUUGCCAGCAAGAUGUAAUGUGGAAUUUCUGAAAGACUAUUUGGAGAGAACUAGGAAGCAAUGCCACCAGCUGAGAAUGAGGAGCCUGAGCAAGUGGAAGAGUUGACUAGGAAAAUGUGAUAUGAUUGCUGGAAAGUAGGAAGGAGAUGAACAGGUAUUACGUAAGGACAAGGAAAGAAAAAUAUGUAAGAACUUGUACUUGGCAACACAUAUCUGGGAAUUUUUCUUAAGGAAAUGCUUAGGAAACUUUGUCAGGAUGUUCAGUGGCAGGACUUUUUUUUUUUAAGAACAAAUAGUUGGGGACAGUUGGUUAUAUUAACCAAUAUAUUAAUCAGUACAGUCUUCCCAAUGAAUUUAGUGCAUACAUUGAUAUCAAAGGUAUUGAUUAUAAA